UCUCUGGUGAAUCAUAAUAACUAGUCGAAUCGACAGGCCUUGUGCCGGCGAUGGCUCAUUCAAAUUUCUUCCCUAUCAACUUUCGAUGUUUGGGUCUUGUCCAAACAUGGUGGCAACGGGUAACGGAGGGUUAGGGCUCGACCCCGGAGAAGGAGCCUGAGAAACGGCUACUACAUCCAAGGAAGGCAGCAGGCGCGCAAAUUACCCAAUCCCGACACGGGGAGGUAGUGACAAUAAAUACUGAUACAGGGCUCUUUUGGGUCUUGUAAUCGGAAUGAGUACAAUUUAAAUCCCUUAACGAGGAACAAUUGGAGGGCAAGUCUGGUGCCAGCAGCCGCGGUAAUUCCAGCUCCAAUAGCGUAUAUUAAAGUUGUUGUGGUUAAAAAGCUCGUAGUUGAACCUUGGGCCUGGCUGGCCGGUCCGCCUCACCGCGUGCACUGGUCCGGCCGGGCCUUUCCCUCUGCGGAACCCCAUGCCCUUCACUGGGUGUGGCGGGGAAACAGGACUUUUACUUUGAAAAAAUUAGAGUGCUCAAGGCAGGCCUAUGCUCGAAUACAUUAGCAUGGAAUAAUAGAAUAGGACGUGUGGUUCUAUUUUGUUGGUUUCUAGGACCGCCGUAAUGAUUAAUAGGGACAGUCGGGGGCAUCAGUAUUCAAUUGUCAGAGGUGAAAUUCUUGGAUUUAUUGAAGACUAACUACUGCGAAAGCAUUUGCCAAGGAUGUUUUCAUUAAUCANGAACGAAAGUUAGGGGA
rnacentral:rRNA from 1 species